rnacentral:rRNA from 1 species
GAUUUCUGGCUUGUUACCUACUGCCGGCCACGGUUUCGUGUGUCAGUGCAGCAGGUUCUGGCCAUCCUUCCAGUCGUGCUCGCCUACUCUUCACUGAGUGGACGACACAGCUGGAUCGUUUACUUUGAAAAAAUUAGAGUGUUUCAAGCAGGCUCAAUGCUAUGAAUACAUUAGCAUGGAAUAAUAAUUUAGGACUUCGGUUCUAUUUUGUUGGUUUCUAGGACUGAAGUAAUGAUUGAUAGGGAUAGUUGGGGGUGCUAGUAUUCAGCGGCCAGAGGUGAAAUUCUCGGAUUCGCUGAAGACUAACUUAUGCGAAAGCAUU